AUACGGAGGCUGCAGGCGUUAUCCGGAUUUACUAGGUUUAAAGGGUCUGUAGGCUGUAUUAUAAGUCAGUGGUGAAAGCCUCUCGCUCAACGGGAGAACUGCCAUUGAUACUGUAGUACUUGAAUAUGGUUGCUGUGGGCGGAAUGCAUCAUGUAGCGGUGAAAUGCUUAGAUAUGAUGCAGAACACCAAUUGCGAAGGCAGCUCACAAAGCCAUUAUUGACGCUGAUAGACGAAAGCGUGGGUAGCGAACAGGAUUAGAAACCCCUGUAGUCC
rnacentral:rRNA from 1 species